rnacentral:rRNA from 1 species
GAUGAACGCUAGCUACAGGCUUAACACAUGCAAGUCGAGGGGAAACGACAUCGAAAGCUUGCUUUUGAUGGGCGUCGACCGGCGCACGGGUGAGUAACGCGUAUCCAACCUGCCCACCACUUGGGGAUAACCUUGCGAAAGUAAGACUAAUACCCAAUGAUAUCCCACGAAGGCAUCCGAAUGGGAUUAAAGAUUUAUCGGUGAUGGAUGGGGAUGCGUCUGAUUAGCUUGUUGGCGGGGUAACGGCCCACCAAGGCGACGAUGGGUAGGGGUUCUGAGAGGAAGGUCCCCCCACAUUGGAACUGAGACACGGUCCAAACUCCUACGGGAGGCAGCAGUGAGGAAUAUUGGUCAAUGGGCGAAAGCCUGAACCAGCCAAGUAGCGUGCAGGACGACGGCCCUAUGGGUUGUAAACUGCUUUUAUAAGGGAAUAAAGUGAGUCUCGUGAGACUUUUUGCAUGUACCUUAUGAAUAAGGACCGGCUAAUUCCGUG